CAAACACAUAACGAGCACAGCGCGGAAUUCCCUCAAGUGCUUAAUGCCAGCAAUUAAGUUUUCCGGAAGAGCCGAACACAGGGAGCUCGCGCUGUCUGUGGACUCCCGAGUCGGCCCCACUCUCACGGGUGACGCCGCCAUGACCCUGAUGCCGUCACGUCACCCGCGCUCUGCCGUGAUCGGCUGAGACGUUCAGUAAAUGUUAACCGAGAGCAGCCGACGUGCACCCUCGUGCUGCGGUGCGGCGGCGGCGCGUGGCGGCGGCGCGUGGCGGCGCUCCUCUCCUGCUCCCCGAACAAAGGUGUUCUAGAGCCCGAACAGGCAGCUGCAUCGUCUUCGGCGUGUUCAGAAUUCCCCCCGGAGGAUCCACGUACGCCGGAGUUAAACUAAACGAGCCCCAGUGUAAUUAUUGACCGCAGAAUAGAUGGUCUGACUGCAAAUGUGCCGCUUUCCCACGUUGGGCUCACGCUGUUACUCACUGUAAAUGUAAGAUUCACGCAACGUCAAAAUCUGGAUUCCUCUUUGAGAUUUGGCUAAAUAAUCUCUUUUGCUGCCAUCAUGUGGUCUGAGGCAAUAAUCACAGAACAUGCAGAGGCUGGAGAAGCACCUGAACAAGACCUCAAGGCAAUGCAGGCGUCUGCCGUUGGGAUCCGAGGGGGGGCUGUGGUUUAGAAUAAUACUAAUUUGCUGAGAGGACAUGGAGGAGCGCUCGAUGAGGCGUCGUCUGAGUUCUGCCAGGGAGGAAAAGCAUCCUGGAUGAUGAUGAUGAUGAUGAUGAUGGACCCACUACUGUACAUGGUUUCAGUGUUUGUCCAGUGAAUCUGAAAAUGCCUGGCCCAGGGGGCGUGAACGAGCCGAUGCCGGGGCUCUGCUUCCUCCCGGCCCGGCCUCGCUGCACGCUUCCUCCCGGGCCGGCCCACUUCACGCCGCGGAGCCGGCGCCCUGCAGACAUCGCUCGCUCUCACUAGCGCUUUGUGCUACGUAGCCAAAAGCAGCACUGAGCUUCUAUUGUGCACGUAAGCAGAGAGUUUAUGGUUCAGUGGCGUGUGUGUGUGUGUGUGUGUGUGUGUGUGUGUGUGUGUGUGUGUGUG